rnacentral:rRNA from 1 species
UACGUAGGGUGCGAGCGUUAAUCGGAAUUACUGGGCGUAAAGCGUGCGCAGGCGGUUUUGUAAGCCAGGUGUGAAAUCCCCGGGCUCAACCUGGGAAUGGCAUUUGGGACUGCAAGGCUGGAGUGUGGCAGAGGAGACGUGGAAUUCCUGGUGUAGCAGGUGAAAUGCGUAGAUAUCGAGGAGGAAUACCGAUGGACGAAGGCAGGUCUCUGGGCUGCACUGGACGCA